AGAGGAUGGCUCUGGCAGCAUCUCAUGGGACUUUCCCUGCUCUCUCAAAGGGGCAGGUGGUCUGAUACAAAGCCUCCCUCUCUCCUCUGGCCAGUGACUCCCCGAGCCAGAGAGGAGCACAUUGGAGAGUGUCUAAGGCCAGUUCUCUGGAAUUCCCCUCAGCUGCUUUCUCAUUUUUAAUGUUCCCUUUCUACCAGAGGACAAGAUUCCUUCUCACUGGCCAAGGAAUAUAUUGAGCUGGUCCCUUCUGGCUUGUGGUACUGGAGAGCUCUCCUCAAGCCUUGGAUGGAUCAAAAACUUGACAGCAGCAGAGGAUGCUACUGAACCGAGGGUUCUUUAGGGAGGUUUUCCAUUCAUCUUCCCUGAAAUAAARAAGGAGCAACAUUUGAAUAGAUAUGUCAGGAACAUGCAACUGUAAGUAGAAAUGAGGAUGGAGAAAAGAGCUGGGUUGUGCCCUUCCUUACCCAUACGGUGACUUCUCUGCAUGAGGCCAUCCCUGCCUUYCAGCACGUGUUUCCCACCACUGUUUGAUUUGAUAUUCCAUAGCUUUUGUCUGUGGAUUCUUGUAAGGCAUCUACAUGGAAAUGCAAGGAAGCAGGAAAUGCUGAAAUGUGAACAGUGCCAUUGUCCACAGUGAACUAUUUCCCAAUGCCGAGUGCAGAGGAGACCAGAAACACAUGCAUGGCAUAGUUUUAAAUCAUUUCUCUCCGUAUUGUAGUAAUGGAAUUGCUUCCAAUGGGAAAAAAAAAAGCACAAUUCUUUAGUUUU